rnacentral:rRNA from 1 species
UACGGGGGGGGCAAGCGUUGUUCGGAAUUACUGGGCGUAAAGGGCUCGUAGGCGGCCAACUAAGUCGGAUGUGAAAUCCCCAAGCUUAACUUGGGAACUGCAUCCGAUACUGGAUGGCUUGAAUCCGGGAGAGGGAUGCAGAAUUCCAGGUGUAGCGGUGAAAUGCGUAGAUAUCUGGAGGUACACCGGUGGCGAAGGCGGCGUCCUGGACCAACACUGACACUGAGGAGCGAAAGCCAGGGGAGCAAACGGG